GUGAUUGUCAAUGUGUAAAUAAGGAAGGUCUUUCUGAAAUAGGCACAUUAAGAAGAAAAGCUUUAAUAAAGUUACAAACAGUUUCCUGACCGAAGUUCGUACCAAAUUAGGAAAGAUAAGUACUAGUACCCUUCCGAGGAUAAUAAAAGAUAAUGGCACCUAAG